CUACUGCGCGGGGGCCUCAAGGAGCUUACGGAUCUGGAUUACCGCCCGAUUGCCAUGCAAUCACUGUGGAAUAUCAAGGUGGCAGUACUGGUCAAGCCAGAGCACGAGAACCGUAUCAGCCACGUCAGUACGUCCAGUGUGAAGACUGGCAUCGCCAACACCCUGGGGAACAAGGGGGCUGUGGGCGUCUCCUUCAUGUUCAAUGGCACCUCAUUUGGCUUUGUGAAUUGUCACCUCACCUCGGGAAAUGAGAAGACGGCUCGGUGAGGGGCACCUUUCCUAUGGUCUCUUUACACCCAUCCCAUUCACCUGAGGCAUGUUCCUGCUCCCAUAUCCCAGCCCAUGACUCUCCCGCAGGCCUGUCUCCAGAGACCCCCUGCUCUCUUAUCCCCAUUCAAGACCCUUCUGUUCCUGACCCUAACCUUGUCCCCAGGGGCCCGGAUCUUUACCCCAUCCCUGACUCCUGAGACUUCUUCCCUUUAUGCCUAUCCCUGACUUCUGGCCCUGACCCUGGGGAUCUACCCCUUCCCACCA
rnacentral:sRNA from 1 species